rnacentral:rRNA from 1 species
GGUUAAGCGACUAAGCGUACACGGUGGAUGCCCUGGCAGUCAGAGGCGAUGAAGGACGUGCUAAUCUGCGAUAAGCGUCGGUAAGGUGAUAUGAACCGUUAUAACCGGCGAUUUCCGAAUGGGGAAACCCAGUGUGAUUCGUCACACUAUCAUUAACUGAAUCCAUAGGUUAAUGAGGCGAACCGGGGGAACUGAAACAUCUAAGUACCCCGAGGAAAAGAAAUCAACCGAGAUUCCCCCAGUAGCGGCGAGCGAACGGGGAGCAGCCCAGAGCCUGAAUCAGUGUGUGUGUUAGUGGAAGCGUCUGGAAAGGCGCGCGAUACAGGGUGACAGCCCCGUACACAAAAAUGCACAUGCUGUGAGCUCGAUGAGUAGGGCGGGACACGUGGUAUCCUGUCUGAAUAUGGGGGGACCAUCCUCCAAGGCUAAAUACUCCUGACUGACCGAUAGUGAACCAGUACCGUGAGGGAAAGGCGAAAAGAACCCCGGCGAGGGGAGUGAAAAAGAACCUGAAACCGUGUACGUACAAGCAGUGGGAGCACGCUUAGGCGUGUGACUGCGUACCUUUUGUAUAAUGGGUCAGCGACUUAUAUUCUGUAGCAAGGUUAACCGAAUAGGGGAGCCGAAGGGAAACCGAGUCUUAACUGGGCGUUAAGUUGCAGGGUAUAGACCCGAAACCCGGUGAUCUAGCCAUGGGCAGGUUGAAGGUUGGGUAACACUAACUGGAGGACCGAACCGACUAAUGUUGAAAAAUUAGCGGAUGACUUGUGGCUGGGGGUGAAAGGCCAAUCAAACCGGGAGAUAGCUGGUUCUCCCCGAAAGCUAUUUAGGUAGCGCCUCGUGAAUUCAUCUCCGGGGGUAGAGCACUGUUUCGGCAAGGGGGUCAUCCCGACUUACCAACCCGAUGCAAACUGCGAAUACCGGAGAAUGUUAUCACGGGAGACACACGGCGGGUGCUAACGUCCGUCGUGAAGAGGGAAACAACCCAGACCGCCAGCUAAGGUCCCAAAGUCAUGGUUAAGUGGGAAACGAUGUGGGAAGGCCCAGACAGCCAGGAUGUUGGCUUAGAAGCAGCCAUCAUUUAAAGAAAGCGUAAUAGCUCACUGGUCGAGUCGGCCUGCGCGGAAGAUGUAACGGGGCUAAACCAUGCACCGAAGCUGCGGCAGCGACGCUGAUGCGUUGUUGGGUAGGGGAGCGUUCUGUAAGCCUGCGAAGGUGUGCUGUGAGGCAUGCUGGAGGUAUCAGAAGUGCGAAUGCUGACAUAAGUAACGAUAAAGCGGGUGAAAAGCCCGCUCGCCGGAAGACCAAGGGUUCCUGUCCAACGUUAAUCGGGGCAGGGUGAGUCGACCCCUAAGGCGAGGCCGAAAGGCGUAGUCGAUGGGAAACAGGUUAAUAUUCCUGUACUUGGUGUUACUGCGAAGGGGGGACGGAGAAGGCUAUGUUGGCCGGGCGACGGUUGUCCCGGUUUAAGCGUGUAGGCUGGUUUUCCAGGCAAAUCCGGAAAAUCAAGGCUGAGGCGUGAUGACGAGGCACUACGGUGCUGAAGCAACAAAUGCCCUGCUUCCAGGAAAAGCCUCUAAGCAUCAGGUAACAUCAAAUCGUACCCCAAACCGACACAGGUGGUCAGGUAGAGAAUACCAAGGCGCUUGAGAGAACUCGGGUGAAGGAACUAGGCAAAAUGGUGCCGUAACUUCGGGAGAAGGCACGCUGAUAUGUAGGUGAAGUCCCUCGCGGAUGGAGCUGAAAUCAGUCGAAGAUACCAGCUGGCUGCAACUGUUUAUUAAAAACACAGCACUGUGCAAACACGAAAGUGGACGUAUACGGUGUGACGCCUGCCCGGUGCCGGAAGGUUAAUUGAUGGGGUCAGCGCAAGCGAAGCUCUUGAUCGAAGCCCCGGUAAACGGCGGCCGUAACUAUAACGGUCCUAAGGUAGCGAAAUUCCUUGUCGGGUAAGUUCCGACCUGCACGAAUGGCGUAAUGAUGGCCAGGCUGUCUCCACCCGAGACUCAGUGAAAUUGAACUCGCUGUGAAGAUGCAGUGUACCCGCGGCAAGACGGAAAGACCCCGUGAACCUUUACUAUAGCUUGACACUGAACAUUGAGCCUUGAUGUGUAGGAUAGGUGGGAGGCUU